rnacentral:rRNA from 1 species
CCUACGGGAGACAGCAGUCGAGAAUCAUUCACAAUGGGGGAAACCCUGAUGGUGCGACGCCGCGUGGGGGAAUGAAGGUCUUCGGAUUGUAAACCCCUGUCAUGUGGGAGCAAAUUAAAAAGAUAGUACCACAAGAGGAAGAGACGGCUAACUCUGUGCCAGCAGCCGCGGUAAUACAGAGGUCUCAAGCGUGGUUCGGAAUCACUGGGCGUAAAGGGUGCGUAGGCUGUUUCGUAAGUCGUGUGUGAAAGGCGCGGGCUCAACCCGCGGACGGCACAUGAUACUGCGAGACUAGAGUAAUGGAGGGGGAACCGGAAUUCUCGGUGUAGCAGUGAAAUGCGUAGAUAUCGAGAGGAACACUCGUGGCGAAGGCGGGUUCCUGGACAUUAACUGACGCUGAGGCACGAAGGCCAGGGGAGCGAAAGGGAUUAGAUACCCGAGUAGUC